rnacentral:misc_RNA from 1 species
AAGGAUCAUUAUCGAAUAAACUUGAACAGGCUGUUUGCUGGUCUCAGGACAUGUGCACGCUUGUCAUCUUUAUCAUUUCUCCAACUUGUGCACGUAUUGUAGACCUUGGAGGGGGGUUUUGGAAUUCGUUCCGAGUGGGGACUGCUGUGCUUCAAACAGAGGUCGGCUUUCCCUUUAGGUCUAUGUCAUCUCUGAAACAAAUAUGUGUCUAGAAUGUUGGAAUAAAUAAAAUACAACUUUCAGCAACGGAUCUCUUGGCUCUC